UACAGGGGGUGCAAACGUUGCUCGGAAUUAUUGGGCGUAAAGCGCGCGCAGGCGGCCUUUUAAGUCUGAUAUGAAAGCCCACGGCUCAACCGUGGAAGGUCAUUGGAAACUGAAAGGCUUGAGUACAGAAGAGGAAAGCGGAAUUCCACGUGUAGCGGUGAAAUGCGUAGAGAUGUGGAGGAACACCAGUGGCGAAGGCGGCUUUCUGGUCUGUAACUGACGCUGAGGCGCGAAAGCGUGGGAGCAAACAGG
rnacentral:rRNA from 1 species